rnacentral:rRNA from 1 species
GAAAUUAAAGAAAAUACUAAAGUUUUAUUUGUUUUUCACAAUUAAGUUAAAAAGUAUUGGCGGUAUUUAGUUAAAUUCUGAGGAACUUGUUUAUUUAAAUAGAUAUUACACAUUAAAUUUUAUCUACAGUUAAGUAUUUAUGUAUUGCUGUUUAAUUUAUUAUUUGUUAUUAAUAAUAGAUUUGAUUAAUUAGUAAUUAAGAAUUUCAAGUCAAAAUGUAGUUUUUUGUAGGGUUAAAUGAGUUACUUUUAUAUUGAAUUAUGAAACUGUAAAUUUAUUUGAAAUGAGAUAAUGAUGAAGGUUGGAUUAGGUAGUAAAAAAGGAAUAAUUAGUUUUUUUGAUAGUUUUUACUGGUAUGU